rnacentral:rRNA from 1 species
GACGAACCGUGCGAACGUUGUUCGGAAUCACUGGGCGUAAAGGGCGCGUAGGUGGCCCGUUAAGUGGCUGGUGAAAUCCCGGGGCUCAACUCCGGGGCUGCCGGUCAGACUGGCGAGCUAGAGCACGGUAGGGGCAGAUGGAAUUCCCGGUGUAGCGGUAGAAUGCGUAGAUAUCGGGAAGAAUACCAGUGGCGAAGGCGUUCUGCUGGGCCGUUGCUGACACUGAGGCGCGACAGCGUGGGGAGCAAACAGG